rnacentral:sRNA from 1 species
UGUAUAUGCUGUAGAUGUCUGGUGUCUU